rnacentral:rRNA from 1 species
CAUGGGUAUCUUCCGCAUGGGCGAAGUCUGACUGGCAGCCACGCCGCGUGAGUGAUGACGGCUCUUCGGGUCGUAAAGCUCUGUUGUUAGGGAAGAACAAGUGCCGUUCUAUCUGCUUGUACCUUGACCGUACCUAUACCAAAAGCCCCGGCUAACUUCGUGCCCGCAGCCGCGGUAAUCAAA